rnacentral:rRNA from 1 species
UACGGAGGGUGCGAGCGUUAAUCGGAAUUACUGGGCGUAAAGGGCGCGUAGGCGGCGAGGUCAGUCAGAUGUGAAAGCCCCGGGCUCAACCUGGGAAUGGCAUUUGAUACUGCCUAGCUCGAGUACGGUAGAGGGGGGUGGAAUUCCAGGUGUAGCGGUGAAAUGCGUAGAUAUCUGGAGGAACACCGGUGGCGAAGGCGACCCCCUGGACCGAUACUGACGCUGAGGUGCGAAAGCGUGGGGAGCAAACAGG